AGUGAACGCUGGCGGUAGGCCUAACACAUGCAAGUCGAACGGCAGCACAGUAAGAGCUUGCUCUUACGGGUGGCGAGUGGCGGACGGGUGAGGAAUACAUCGGAAUCUACUUUUUCGUGGGGGAUAACGUAGGGAAACUUACGCUAAUACCGCAUACGACCUACGGGUGAAAGCAGGGGAUCUUCGGACCUUGCGCGAUUGAAUGAGCCGAUGUCGGAUUAGCUAGUUGGCGGGGUAAAGGCCCACCAAGGCGACGAUCCGUAGCUGGUCUGAGAGGAUGAUCAGCCACACUGGAACUGAGACACGGUCCAGACUCCUACGUGAGGCAGCAGUGGGGAAUAUUGGACAAUGGGCGCAAGCCUGAUCCAGCCAUACCGCGUGGGUGAAGAAGGCCUUCGGGUUGUAAAGCCCUUUUGUUGGGAAAGAAAAGCAGCAGGUUAAUACCCCGCUGUUCUGACGGUACCCAAAGAAUAAGCACCGGCUAACUUCG
rnacentral:rRNA from 1 species